rnacentral:rRNA from 1 species
GCGUGAGCGAUGAAGGCCUUAGGGUUGUAAAGCUCUUUCACCGGUGAAGAUAAUGACGGUAGCCGGAGAAGAAGCCCCGGCUAACUCCGUGCCAGCAGCCGCGGUAAUACGGAGGGGGCUAGCGUUGUUCGGAAUUACUGGGCGUAAAGCGCGCGUAGGCGGAAGUUCAAGUCGGGGGUGAAAUCCCGGGGCUCAACCCCGGAACUGCCUCCGAUACUGUUCUUCUAGAGGUCUGGAGAGGUGAGUGGAAUUCCGAGUGUAGAGGUGAAAUUCGU